rnacentral:rRNA from 1 species
CGGGUGAGUAACGCGUGGAUAACCUGCCCCAUACCGGGGGAUAACAGCCGGAAACGGCUGCUAAUACCGCAUAAGCGCACAGGAAUGCAUAUUCCAGUGUGAAAAACUCCGGUGGUAUGGGAUGGAUCCGCGUCUGAUUAGCUAGUUGGCGGGAUAGAGGCCCACCAAGGCGACGAUCAGUAGCCGACCUGAGAGGGUGGCCGGCCACAUUGGGACUGAGACACGGCCCAGACUCCUACGGGAGGCAGCAG